UACGUAGGGCGCAAGCGUUGUCCGGAAUUAUUGGGCGUAAAGAGCUCGUAGGCGGUCUGUUACGUCCGCUGUGAAAACCCGGGGCUUAACCCUGGGCUGGCAGUGGAUACGGACAGACUAGAGGUAGGUAGGGGAGAAUGGAAUUCCCGGUGUAGCGGUGAAAUGCGCAGAUAUCGGGAGGAACACCGGUGGCGAAGGCGGUUCUCUGGGCCUUACCUGACGCUGAGGAGCGAAAGCGUGGGGAGCGAACAGG
rnacentral:rRNA from 1 species